GUGUCAGCCGCCGCGGUAAUACGGAGGGUGCAAGCGUUAUCCGGAAUUAUUGCGCGUAAAGCGCGCGCAGGUGGUUUCUUAAGUCUGAUGUGAAAGCCCACGGCUCAACCGUGGAGGGUCAUUGGAAACUGGGAGACUUGAGUGCAGAAGAGGAAAGUGGAAUUCCAUGUGUAGCGGUGAAAUGCGUAGAGAUAUGGAGGAACACCAGUGGCGAAGGCGACUUUCUGGUCUGUAACUGACACUGAGGCGCGAAAGCGUGGGGAGCAAACAGG
rnacentral:rRNA from 1 species